rnacentral:lncRNA from 1 species
UGGGUUGAACUACAAACAAGACUCGAAAGGUUUUAGAUUAGAUGUUAAGCUCAUAUAUUUUUUGGGCCAAUCUCAAGUAUAUCAUUAGCUAGAUCUAGACCCAACCUUAGCCCAAGCACAGAUGAGAUCCCAAAUGGAGCUCAAACUCAAGUCCGGACUCAACCCAAACAGACUAGAAAUGGAAUCUGAACUUAAAAAAUUGUAGACUUGUAGUUG